GUGGCCGCGGUUGCGGUGGGUGGGCAAGGUGUAGCCGUGGGCCCCUGUCCCGAAGGGGUCGGUCAGGGUCCAGGAGAUGGGCUGCCCGGUCUCAUCCUGCAGGCAGAUGCUGGGGAAGCGCUCCAGAACCUCUGCCAGGAGCACAGGGACCCCUGGGACUUCUACACCAACCAGUUGACAGUGUACUACCGGGAUGAGGGUGCCUGGCGGGCAUUGCUGGGGGGCACCGAGGUGGUGGGCUGGACCCGGGCCUUCCAGAUGCAAGGUAAGCCUGGCACGGGGUGGGGGCAGGAAUGUGUCCUGGGCAUCCCCUCACCCACCGUGCCCCUGCCUGGGCUGACAGCGCUGCCCCAGGGAUGCAGGAGGGGAUGUAUAAGGCUGUGCGCGAGAUGGCUGAUGCCAAGGGGCUGCGGCUGGAGACGUACCGGUACCAGGCACUGCUGAGCCCCCGGCCCCCCCAGCCCCGUGUGCAGUAAGUGUGGGGGCACCUGGGGACACGGCAGCACCGGGGGCCCCAGUCACGUGGCUGGGCGGCACAGGGGUCCCCAAGCACAUCAGUGGGUGACAUGGGGGUCCUCAAUCAUAUCCCUGGGUGACGUGUGGGUCACUGAACUCAUCCCUGGGUGACAUCAGUCCCCAGGCACAUCCCUGGCUGACAUAACGAUCCCCAAGCAUAUCCCUGGGUGGCAUGAGGGUCCCUGAGCACAUCCCUUUGUGACAUGGGGGGGUCCCUGAGCACUCCCUGAGUGGCAUAGGGAUCCCCAAGCACAUCCCUGGGUAACAUGGGGGUACCCAUCUCAUCCCUGAGUGGCACUGGGGUCUCCAAGCACAACCCUGGGUGACAUGGGGGUCCCCAGUCUCAUCCCUGGGUAGCACGCAGGGUGCAGCAGCUCCCCCGUGCCACCCCUGCUGGGAAGGAAGGUGCAGGUCCCCCAAUCCC